ACAGAAAGGGAGCUUGCUCCCGGAUGUUAGCGGCGGACGGGUGAGUAACACGUGGGUAACCUGCCUGUAAGACUGGGAUAACUCCGGGAAACCGGAGCUAAUACCGGAUAGUUCCUUGAACCGCAUGGUUCAAGGAUGAAAGACGGUUUCGGCUGUCACUUACAGAUGGACCCGCGGCGCAUUAGCUAGUUGGUGAGGUAACGGCUCACCAAGGCGACGAUGCGUAGCCGACCUGAGAGGGUGAUCGGCCACACUGGGACUGAGACACGGCCCAGACUCCUACGGGAGGCAGCAGUAGGGAAUCUUCCGCAAUGGACGAAAGUCUGACGGAGCAACGCCGCGUGAGUGAUGAAGGUUUUCGGAUCGUAAAGCUCUGUUGUUAGGGAAGAACAAGUGCAAGAGUAACUGCUUGCACCAUGACGGUACCUAACCAGAAAGCCACGGCUAACUACGUGCCAGCAGCCGCGGUAAUACGUAGGUGGCAAGCGUUGUCCGGAAUUAUUGGGCGUAAAGGGCUCGCAGGCGGUUUCUUAAGUCUGAUGUGAAAGCCCCCGGCUCAACCGGGGAGGGUCAUUGGAAACUGGGAAACUUGAGUGCAGAAGAGGAGAGUGGAAUUCCACGUGUAGCGGUGAAAUGCGUAGAGAUGUGGAGGAACACCAGUGGCGAAGGCGACUCUCUGGUCUGUAACUGACGCUAAUGAACGAAAACUGGGGGAGCGAACAGGAUAUAUACCCUGGGUGUUCCACCCCGUAAACAA
rnacentral:rRNA from 1 species